UACGAAGGGGGCUAGCGUUGCUCGGAAUCACUAGGCGUAAAGGGUGCGUAGGCGGGUUUUUAAGUCAGAGGUGAAAUCCUGGAGCUCAACUCCAGAACUGCCUUUGAUACUGAAAGUCUUGAGUAUGGGAGAGGUGAGUGGAACUGCGAGUGUAGAGGUGAAAUUCGUAGAUAUUCGCAAGAACACCAGUGGCGAAGGCGGCUCGCUGGAACGGUACUGACGCUGAGGCGCGAAAGCGUGGGGAGCAAACAGG
rnacentral:rRNA from 1 species